rnacentral:rRNA from 1 species
UUUGCCUGUUUAUCAAAAACAUGUUUGUUUGAAGGUGUAAAUGGUCUGACCUGCUCACUGAUGAAAUCAUUUAAGAGCCGCGGUAUUCUGACCGUGCAAAGGUAGCAUAAUCAUUAGAGGUUUAAUUGGAAUCUGGAAUGAAGGGUUGGACAAAGGAAAAGCUGUCUUUAUGAUGAAAAUUGAAAUUUACUUUUAAGUGAAAAGGCUUAAAUAUUUCAGGGGGACGAUAAGACCCUAUAAAGCUUUAUAAAUAAUUUAAAUUUAACUAAUUUAGGGAAUAAAAGUUGAGUUUAAUUGUUUUAUUUUGUUGGGGUGAUAUGAGUAUAAUUUUUAUUAACUGCUUAGAAAUGAUUCUAUUAUAGUAGAGUUUAUAAUAAAUGAUCCUUUUUUAAAGAUUAAAAGACUAAGUUACUUUAGGGAUAACAGCGUUAUUUCUUUUGAGAGUUCAUAUCGAAAAAGAAGAUUGCGACCUCGAUGUUGAAUUAAAAUGUCUAUAUGAUGCAGCAGUUAUAGAAGAAGGUCUGUUCGACCUUUAAAUUUUUACAUGAUUUGAGUUCAAACCAGA